rnacentral:rRNA from 1 species
UGCCAGCAGCCGCGGUAAUACGGAGGGGGCUAGCGUUAUUCGGAAUUACUGGGCGUAAAGCGCACGUAGGCGGCGUAUCAAGUUAGAGGUGAAAGGCCUGGGCUCAACCCGGGAAUUGCCUUUAAGACUGAUAUGCUUGAGUUCGGAAGAGGGUAGUGGAAUUCCAAGUGUAGAGGUGAAAUUCGUAGAUAUUUGGAAGAACACCAGUGGCGAAGGCGGCUACCUGGUCCGAUACUGACGCUGAGGUGCGAAAGCGUGGGGAGCAAACAGGAUUAGAUA